GAUGAACGCUCGCUACAGGCUUAACACAUGCAAGUCGAGGGGCAGCAUGAUUGAAGCUUGCUUCAAUCGAUGGCGACCGGCGCACGGGUGAGUAACACGUAUCCAACCUGCCGAUAACUCGGGGAUAGCCUUUCGAAAGAAAGAUUAAUACCCGAUAGUAUAGUAUUUCCGCAUGGUUUCACUAUUAAAGAACUUCGGUUAUCGAUGGGGAUGCGUUCCAUUAGCUAGUUGGCGGGGUAACGGCCCACCAAGUCAACGAUGGAUAGGGGUUCUGAGAGGAAGGUCCCCCACAUUGGAACUGAGACACGGUCCAAACUCCUACGGGAGGCAGCAGUGAGGAAUAUUGGUCAAUGGACGAGAGUCUGAACCAGCCAAGUAGCGUGAAGGAUGACUGCCCUAUGGGUUGUAAACUUCUUUUAUACGGGAAUAAAGUGGAGUAUGCAUACUCCUUUGUAUGUACCGUAUGAAUAAGAAUCGGCUAACUCCGUG
rnacentral:rRNA from 1 species